rnacentral:lncRNA from 1 species
CCAAUCCCAUCGUAUGGAGCCACCUAUCAAGUACCGCUUUGAACAGAAGGUCCCCCUGGCCCCUCCUGUUCCUUUCCCAAGACCGCCUAAAAGCUUACUGGGAAAGCCACUGCCUUAUUGUCUCAGAGUCUAUAACUAUCGUCCCUAGGAUCGCUAAACGCGAGCCGUCGGGUAAGCUUUUUUCCCGAAUCCUUAUCCGGUUCGGGCCUUAACUGAGGUUCAGUGGUUAUUAUACGAGUUACCGCUUGCAGAGGUUUUCCCAGUAUUUUAGUCUUACACGUAUAAGAAUACUGAACUGGUUCGGGCACACAAGUAAACAAAAGCAUAUGUGAGUUAACACUCUGGAAGGGAAGUUACUCCAGGGUUGGAGUAACGACCUAUCUCACAGGAUACUUUUCCACAAGAAUACAAGCCAGCCCACAUAAGUCUACAUAUGCCUAACAGAGCGAAUUGCUUCGCGAAGGGACCGGAGAGCGCUGCGGUAUGUUUGGGCUGCAGCAGCGCUCGGAGCCCUGAGACAGGCUAGUAGCUACUUCCAACUUUAAAACCUGAGCUACUGAGCUACUGNN